rnacentral:rRNA from 1 species
GUGGGGAAUAUUGCACAAUGGGCGCAAGCCUGAUGCAGCCAUGCCGCGUGUAUGAAGAAGGCCUUCGGGUUGUAAAGUACUUUCAGCAGUGAGGAAGGUGGAUAUGUUAAUAGCAUAUUCAUUUGACGUUAGCUGCAGAAGAAGCACCGGCUAACUCCGUGCCAGCAGCCGCGGUAAUACGGAGGGUGCGAGCGUUAAUCGGAAUUACUGGGCGUAAAGCGCAUGCAGGUGGUUUGUUAAGUCAGAUGUGAAAGCCCGGGGCUCAACCUCGGAAUUGCAUUUGAAACUGGCAAACUAGAGUACUGUAGAGGGGGUAGAAUUUCAGGUGUAGCGGUGAAAUGCGUAGAGAUCUGAAGGAAUACCGGUGGCGAAGGCGGCCCCCUGGACAGAUACUGACACUCAGAUGCGAAAGCGUGGGGAGCAAACAGGAUUAGAUACCCUGGUAG